rnacentral:rRNA from 1 species
AAGAGUUUGAUCCUGGUUCAGGAUGAACGCUAGCUACAGGCUUAACACAUGCAAGUCGAGGGGCAUCAGGAAGAAAGCUUGCUUUCUUUGCUGGCGACCGGCGCACGGGUGAGUAACACGUAUCCAACCUGCCCUUUACUCGGGGAUAGCCUUUCGAAAGAAAGAUUAAUACCCGAUGGGAUAAUCAUUCCGCAUGGUUUGAUUAUUAAAGGAUUCCGGUAAAGGAUGGGGAUGCGUUCCAUUAGGUUGUUGGUGAGGUAACGGCCCACCAAGCCUUCGAUGGAUAGGGGUUCUGAGAGGAAGGUCCCCCACAUUGGAACUGAGACACGGUCCAAACUCCUACGGGAGGCAGCAGUGAGGAAUAUUGGUCAAUGGGCGCGAGCCUGAACCAGCCAAGUAGCGUGAAGGAUGACUGCCCUAUGGGUUGUAAACUUCUUUUAUAUUAGAAUAAAGUGCAGUAUGUAUACUGUUUUGUAUGUAUAAUAUGAAUAAGG